rnacentral:rRNA from 1 species
GGGGAGUACGAACGCAAGUUUGAAACUCAAAGGGAAUUGACGGGGGCCCGCACAAGCGGUGGAUUAUGUGGUUUAAUUCGAUGAUACGCGAGGAACCUUACCAAGGCUUAAAUGGGAAAUGACAGGUUUAGAAAUAGACUUUUUCUUCGGACAUUUUUCAAGGUGCUGCAUGGUUGUCGUCAGCUCGUGCCGUGAGGUGUUAGGUUAAGUCCUGCAACGAGCGCAACCCCUGUCACUAGUUGCCAUCAUUAAGUUGGGGACUCUAGUGAGACUGCCUACGCAAGUAGAGAGGAAGGUGGGGAUGACGUCAAAUCAUCACGGCCCUUACGCCUUGGGCCACACACGUAAUACAAUGGCCGGUACAGAGGGCAGCUACACAGUGAUGUGAUGCAAAUCUCGAAAGCCGGUCUCAGUUCGGAUUGGAGUCUGCAACUCGACUCUAUGAAGCUGGAAUCGCUAGUAAUCGCGCAUCAGCCAUGGCGCGGUGAAUACGUUCCCGGGCCUUGUACACACCGCCCGUCAAGCCAUGGAAGUCUGGGGUACCUGAAGUCGGUGACCGUAACAGGAGCUGCCUAGGGUAAAACAGGUAACUAGGGCUAAGUCGUAACAAGGUAGCCGUA